CCUACGGGUGGCAGCAGUAGGGAAUCUUCCACAAUGGGCGAAAGCCUGAUGGAGCAACGCCGCGUGGAUGAAGAAGGUCUUCGGAUCGUAAAACCCUGUUGUUAGAGAAGAAAGUGCGUGAGAGUAACUGUUCACGUUUCGACGGUAUCUAACCAGAACGCCACGGCUAACUACGUGCCAGCAGCCGCGGUAAUACGUAGGUGGCACGCGUUAUCCGGAUUUACUGGGCGUAAAGGGAACGCAGGCGGUCUUUUAGGUCUGAUGUGAAAGCCUUCGGCUUAACCGGAGUAGUGCAUUGGAAACUGGGAGACUUGAGUGAAGAAGAGGCGAGUGGAACUCGAUGUGUAGCGGUGAAAUGCGUAGAUAUAUGGAAGAACACCAGUGGCGAAAGCGGCUUACUGGUCUGUAACUGACGCUGAGGUUCGAAAGCGUGGGUAGCAAACAGGAUUAGAUACCCGAGUAGUC
rnacentral:rRNA from 1 species